GUGAGGAAUAUUGGGCAAUGCCCGAAAGGGUGACCCAGCAACGCCGCGUGGAGGAUGAAGGUCGUAAGAUUGUAAACUCCUGUUAGAGGGGAAGAAUAACUAAGUUUGGAGCUUAGUAUGACUGUACCCUCAGAGAAAGCCCCGGCUAACUACGUGCCAGCAGCCGCGGUAAUACGUAGGGGGCAAGCGUUGUCCGGAUUUACUGGGUGUAAAGGGCGCGCAGGCGGAAUGGAAAGUCAGUGGUGAAAUCCUACAGCUUAACUGUAGAACUGCCUUUGAUACUUUCAUUCUUGAGUUCGGGAGAGAGGGACGGAAUUCCAGGUGUAGUGGUGAAAUACGUAGAUAUCUGGAAGAACACCAGUUGCGAAGGCGGUCUCUUGGUCCGAUACUGACGCUGAGGAGCGAAAGCGUGGGGAGCAAACA
rnacentral:rRNA from 1 species